CCUCACUAAUUCUUCUUUUUAAAAGUUAUUGCCGUUGGUAAAUUUAUCUGUCAUUUGUCUUUGUCCCCUGACUGUCAUCAUUCACAUUCCUUGAAGACAGAAGAUUUGCUGUGUGUUUUCUCUGCCUCAGUCUUGCUGUGGCCACUCCAAGCAACAUGAUUGAAUUUCCCAAGGCCACAUCAAGUGACCUUGGCCAGAUCUGUUACAAGCCUCAAGAUCACACAGUAAUUAUACAGCUACUGUAUCAUGAGAUAACUCAGAAGAAUUAAGGAUUCUUCUGAUGGAUAAACCAAUACAAAAGAUGUAUUUGGCUUAUGAGGCGAAUUAUGGGGGUUCCUCGAGCUCACCAUUCCCUCUUCAAGUCCCCUGACCUGUAGCCACCAGACCCUUCCUGCCACAGAAUCCACAGAGGGACCUGGAGGCAGAACAAAGCAGUCAGCAUCAUCAGCUGCCAUCCCUGCCUCUCUACCCUCCAGUAGAAAGGAGAGGGAGAGACCCCACCUAUACCCACUGGAAGAAGAGAUGGGAAAAUGAUAAUAUAAGAACACAUCCCACAACAGAA